GCCUGCUUGGCUAAAUGGUACAGCGUGUCACACAGUAUCUAUUCCGAAGCAACUCGUCUUGCUAGUGCCAUAAUGAGAUUAGCGGUUCGAUUCCGCUAGUGGAUA